rnacentral:rRNA from 1 species
GAUCCUGGCUCAGGAUGAACGCUGGCGGCGUGCCUAAUACAUGCAAGUCGAACGAACUGUCUUCGGGCAGUGAGUGGCGAACGUGUGAGUAAUACAUAAGCAAUCUGCCCAUGGGACUGGGAUAACGUCUGGAAACGGACGCUAAUACCGGAUAGGCUGGGGUGAGGCAUCUUACUCCAAUUAAAGUUGGGAUACAACACCGAUGGAUGAGCUUAUGGCGUAUUAGCUAGUAGGUG